CGAGCGGCGAACGGGUGAGUAACACGUGAGGACCUGCCCCUGACUCUGGGAUAAGCGGUGGAAACGCCGUCUAAUACCGGAUACGACCCGCCACCUCAUGGUGAGGGGGGAAGUUUUUCGGUCAGGGAUGGGCUCGCGGCCUAUCAGCUUGUUGGGGGGUAACGGCCUACCAAGGCGAUUACGGGUAGCCGGCCUGAGAGGCGACCGCCCACACUGGGACUGAGACACGGCCCAGACUCCUGCGGGAGGCAGCAGCGGGGAAUAUUGCGCAAUGGGCGAAAGUCUACGCAGCGACGCGGC
rnacentral:rRNA from 1 species